UCCCAGACUCCUACGGGAGGCAGCAGUGGGGGAUAUUGCACAAUGGGGGAAACCCUGAUGCAGCGACGCCGCGUGGGCGAAGAAGUAUUUCGGUAUGUAAAGCCCUAUCAGCAGGGAAGAAGAAAUGACGGUACCUGACUAAGAAGCACCGGCUAAAUACGUGCCAGCAGCCGCGGUAAUACGUAUGGUGCAAGCGUUAUCCGGAUUUACUGGGUGUAAAGGGAGCGCAGGCGGCGCGUUAAGCCUGGUGUGAAAGCCCGCGGCCCAACCGCGGGACUGCAUUGGGAACUGGCGCGCUGGAGUGCCGGAGGGGUAGGCGGAAUUCCUAGUGUAGCGGUGAAAUGCGUAGAUAUUAGGAGGAACACCAGUGGCGAAGGCGGCUUACUGGACUGUAAAUGACGCUGAGGCUCGAAAGCGUGGGGAGCAAACAGGAUUAGAUACCCCUGUAGCG
rnacentral:rRNA from 1 species